rnacentral:rRNA from 1 species
ACCCUGCGUUGGCCUGACGCAGCACGCCGCGUGCAUGAUGAAGUCCUUCGGGAUGUAAAGUCCUUUUGCAGAGGAAGAAGAUGCUGCUUUACCGGCGGGAAGGGAAUUUGGGAAUUAUUCAAGGGUUACUUUGGGCCCACCGGCCCCGUGAAAACUGGGGGGAAGGCGUUUUCCGAAUUACUGGGGUGUACCCGUGCCGCUGGUUUCCCAUUAUUCCCCCUACCAAAUCCCCCUCC